GUGAAUCAUCAAAUUUUUGAACGCAAAUUGCACUCUCUUCGGAUAGUAUGCCUGUUUGUGGUUCAGUAUUAAUAAAAAUCGGAGUGUUUCUUCUUUGUGACGCUCCUGAGUUCGGGUCGUCUUAAUAUCCUUUAGGUUUUAAGUGGCUUAAAAUUGACUUUUUUUGCGCAUUUUAGAUGUACAUAAAUUCUUUUUUUUUAUCUUCUGUCUUUAUGCUCAAAUUCCUAUUAGAUUCUACC
rnacentral:misc_RNA from 1 species